rnacentral:rRNA from 1 species
UACGGAAGGCAGCAGUGGGGAAUAUUGCACAAUGGGCGCAAGCCUGAUGCAGCCAUGCCGCGUGUAUGAAAAAGGCCUUCGGGUUGUAAAGUACUUUCAGUCGUGAGGAAGGUGUUAAGGUUAAUAACCUUAGCAAUUGACGUUAGCGACAGAAGAAGCACCGGCUAACUCCGUGCCAGCAGCCGCGGUAAUACGGAGGGUGCGAGCGUUAAUCGGAAUUACUGGGCGUAAAGGGCACGCAGGCGGUUAAUUAAGUUGGAUGUGAAAUCCCCGGGCUUAACCUGGGAAUGGCAUUCAAGCUGGUUAGCUAGAGUCUUGUAGAGGGGGUAGAAUUCCAUGUGUAGCGGUGAAAUGCGUAGAGAUGUGGAGGAAUACCGGUGGCGAAGGCGGCCCCUGGACAAAGACUGACGCUCAUGUGCGAAAGCGUGGGGAGCGAAACGAGGGAUUAGAUACC